rnacentral:rRNA from 1 species
GGAAUUUUGCGCAAUGGGGGAAACCCUGACGCAGCAACGCCGCGUGAGUGAGGAAGGCCUUCGGGUUGUAAAGCUCUUUCAGCAGGGAAGAAACAAAUGACGGUACCUGUAGAAGAAGCACCGGCUAACUCCGUGCCAGCAGCCGCGGUAAUACGGAGGGUGCAAGCGUUACUCGGAUUUACUGGGCGUAAAGAGCACGUAGGCGGUUUGGUAAGUCUGAUGUGAAAGCCCUGGACUCAAUCCAGGAAGUGCAUUGGAUACUGCCAGGCUAGAGUACAGGAGGGGUGAGCGGAAUUCCAGGUGUAGAGGUGAAAUUCGUAGAUAUCUGGAGGAACAACGGAGGCGAAGGCGACUCACUGGACUGUAACUGACGCUGAGGUGCGAAAGCGUGGGGAGCGAAC